CUAUUGUAUGAAAGGAGAGAAGGUUAGCACUCCUCUGGAUGAGGAUGGAAGCGGUCCAAGUGGCCUGUACAACACACACAUGGUUAAAGCAUUGCUACUUACUUUUUGAAAGCCAGUGUGGCGUAGCGGUUAGAGUGUUUG